rnacentral:lncRNA from 10 species
GACUGCUAUAGAGUCAAAAGACAACCUGUGGCACGCGGGAGUUUGAAGAUGCAUCUCGGAAGAAGAAAGAAGAAACGGGACUUCGUUGCUGAACCUCCUGGAUGGGGCAACAAGGAGGGCAACUCAGGACAAAAUCUGACUCCAGAAAUGACACCAAAUUCAUAGUGCUGCCAUUGCUGCCUUGAAAGCCCUCGACCGUCCACAGAGUACCAAAAUAAAAGAAGAGUGAAUGCCUUUUAUGCAACAAGGAGAAAAGAACAAAGCAAAAGUCUCAGAGGCUUGUGAUACACAGGGGAUACAGAAUGAGGAGACUCUUCCAGAAUCCACACGAAGACAGACAGUUGGAGGGAUGGGAGGAAACGAAUUGAGAAAAGACAGACAGCAAAAAAGAUUAAAAAAAAAUGUAAAGAAAAAGAGACAGAGAUGUAAAGGGAAGAAAGAUAACGAAGAAAAUAGAAAGAGAAACAGAAAAAGAGAAUGAGAAAUGAUAGAAGGGAGGAAGAAAAAGAGAGAGAGAAGAAAGAAAAAGAAAAGAAAGAAAGAAAAAGAAAGAAAGAGGAAGAAAAAAGGAAAAAUAAAGGAAAUGAAAAAGAGGGAAGCGCAUCAUGGUUCACACCUAUAAUCCCAACACUUUGGGAGGUUGAGGUGGAAGAAUCACUUGAGCCCAGCAGUUUGAGACCAGCCCUGGCAACACAGUGAGACCACGUCUCUACUUUAAAAAAGAAAAAAUUAAAAAGUUAGCCGGGCGUGAUGGCAGGCGCCUGUAGUUUCAGCUCCUUUGGAGCCUGAGGUGGGAGCAUCAUUUGGGCUGGGGAGGUAGAGGCUGUGGUGGGCCUUGGUCAGGCAAAUGCACUGCAGCCUGUUGCCCAGGCUCAUCUCGAACUCCCAAACUUUAGCGAACCGCCUGCCUCAGCCUCCGAACUUGCACCUGCCAUAUCCAACGGCCCUGGGAGUAUCAGUGAUAGAUUUUAGUAGACACGGUUGUUAUGCCAUAUUGCCCAGGUUGGUCUCGAACUUGAACCCGGGAAUAUGAGGCUACAGUGAGCCAAGGUCGUGCCACUGCACUGCAGUCUGGGUGAUAGACCAAGACUCCAUCUCUAAAUAACUAAAUAAUAAAAACAAUAACAAUUAUAACAAACAAUAAUACAAAUAAAUAAUAACAACAACAAUAAUAAUAAACUAGUGGGAGUGAAAAAUAUAACAAGUAAUUUAGAUCACAAUUAAUUGUAGUAAUUUCAAGGAGUUAUUUCUUUAACCUGUCUCUCUUACUUUCUGAAACAGGGUCUUUCUCUGUCACUCAGGCUGGAGGGCAGUGGCGUGAUCAUGGCUCACUGCAGCUUCGACAUCCCAGAAUCAAGCUAUUCCUGCAGUCUCAGCCACUUGGAAGACUGAGAUGGCAAGAUCACCUGACGGAGCCCAGGAAGGUCCAGGCUGCGAUGAGCCGAGAUCGCAUUCUCACACGCCAACUUUUCUCAAAAAAAAAAAGGAAGUAAACGUAAAACAACAGCAACUUCAGUGUGUAGAAAGAGGAGUAAGAAAAGUAAAAGGAAAAAUAAAAACAAAAUGAAGAGCAACUGAAAAUACUGUGGAAACAAUUGGAGAGGAAGAAACAACGUAGUGAAGGAGCGACAUCUAGUGGACAAAAGUGGUAGUGCUGCUGACCAGAGUUAUCUGUUAUUCCUUAGAAAUCCCAGGUUGAUGGUCAGUUCCAACGCUCGCCGCAGACGUCUGGGGGACCCGGCGCCAGCGGACGGAAGCGGUCGGACCCAGUUGGAAUCUUAUCACACAGAGCCGGCCCACCUUUACUGUCAUCUAACUCCACCGACCUGCCCGCCGUUCCCCCACUGUCCGCUGGUUGAACCCGGCAGCGGAGAGAGAAGGAAAGGCACAAAGGCAGUGACUGGCUCAUAUCCCAGCCCCGCGCACCUGGGGCGGGGAGAGGGGCAGUGACCCCAAAGGCCACCACCGGGCAUGCGUGAACAUUACUGGGACAGAAACCUCAGGGGCACACCCUCCGACACCCACGCCUCAGCCAUUCUCAACAGGCUCAAUGAAUCCGAUCCCAGCCCCUGGAGGAGUUCCCAGAGGGGUGUGGGGAGGAGGUGGAAUCGGAGAGGUGGAACUACGAGCAGAUAGACCCUCACUUCAUCACCG